CGUAAAAGUUUUGAUCGAUGCGAGUGGAACAACACUAUUAGUAUCAUAUUGUGUGUGUGGUGAUAAGCACAGAUCCAAUAUUGUGUUCUAUUAUCGGGAAAAAUUAUUGUUCUAUAUCUAAAUAAUAUAAUCGUGUUCUCUCUACACUUCUAAUUCUACUUAAAAAAACUUUGUAUCGUUGUGUACUACUACUACUAUUUAAUAAGUCAGUGUGUGUAUAUGUUACAUGUGCAAUACAUUUUUUGACAGAUAAUACACGAAUACUACCAACAUUUAGACCAGAACUGUCAUUGUUUUGUUUUUCCUGGUACGCAAAGAAAAAUACUACUACAUGUGAAAAGGAACACAAAAAGUGCGAAAAAAAAAACGAGAAUCACAAUCAUAAUAAUAACAAUAACAGUUAUUCUACAAUAAAUAACAUCUCCUAUUUCAACACUUGUCUUGUUAUCUUUUUUUCCGUGAACGUACUUUCCGCAAGUGUUUGUGUAUUGUUAUUGCAAGAAUAAUAAUAACAUAAGAAUAACACACGAAAAAUAGCCACCAGGCAAUUCGUCUAGCAUCGAUCCGGUGACUUGCCAAAGAAGAAGAAGAAGUUUCUUUUCAACGCUCGUAUCAGCUCAUCUCUGUUGUUAGACAACUACUUUCGGUACUUCUACUCAACUCAAACUAACUAAGCAACUCCAAAAUGGCAGCAUUUGUGGCAAAACAAAUGAUCGGCAAUAAGAUGAGCGCCGUUAAAGGCGCAGUCGGUGGUGAUGGAGAUGACGGUGAUGAGAAUAGCAAAGAGAAGGAAGAGGAAGCCGAACGCGAACGCCAAGAGGCGAUCCGUGAGGCUGAGGAACGACGAAAGGAGAAACAUCGCAAGAUGGAGGAGGAACGAGAAAAGAUGAGACAAGAAAUUAGAGAUAAGUACAAGAUCGUGAAAAAAGAGGAAAUCGUAGAACAAGCACCACCUGAACCAGAUAAUCCACUAAUGAGAAAGAAGAAAACACCUGAAGAAUUGGCUCGUGAGGCAGAGGAAGCUGAGUUGGAUGAUUUUACGAAAUUGAAAAACUCAAUAGAAACACAAGUGAAUGAAAUAAAAACACAAAUUGAGAGCAAAUGUGUUUUGCAGUGAUAUGUUUACAUUAUUACCACUUAUCAUUAAUUUACAAAUAUCAUACAUUUUUUUGUUUUAAUACAUAACUUUAUUAUAAUCAUUAACAUAAUAAGUUCAAUUUAUUCAACAGUUAAUUAUUAAUAAUUAAAAACAUUAUACAAUAAAAAAAAAAAAAAAAAAAUAUUUGCAUAAUUGCGUUCAUUCCAAUUUAGUUAUUUGCUUUUGUAUUUUAUCGAUCGUUUCAACAUGUUAUAAUCCUGAAAAAAAAAUGAUUAUUAAAAAAAACAUAAAAAAAUAAAAAAAAAAUUGUUAUCUUAGUCAUGUGAACGGUUAUUAUUAUUAUUAAUAAUUAAUAAAAAAAAUUAUUAAUGAAUAAGUAAGCAUUAAGUAAUAAUAAUAAUAAAAAAAUAUAUUGACUAAAAAAGUUAGUAUUAGCUGAAUUAAAUUAUAUUAAUAUCAAUUUAGUGUAAGCACGAAUAGAAAUUGAUUUGCGAUUCUAAUUACAUAUGUAUAUAAAGUCUCUUUAAUCAUAAAAACAUAUAGUGCGGUGUUCUUGAACACCCACCGAAAAUGAUUUUGUGAAUAAAGUUCUUUCUUAUACAUAGAGCUCCUCAUUUCUUAUUCAUACAACAGAGAAAAACACAGAAACACAUAAAUUUACACGAAAAACAGCUAGAACGGAAAAAAAUUGAUGAGGGUCCGAUCGAAUCGAUGUCAAGACAGAAGCAAUUUUUAUUAUAUUAUAUUAAUUAAAACAAAGAAUAUAUUAUAUACAUAAAAUAUAUACAAUUCAUGAAAAAAAAAAUACUAAACAAAAACAGACAAAAAAAUUAAUAUUGUUAGAAACAUAUAUGGUUUGACAGCUUAUUUUCACAAAACACCGCAUCAUUGUCCUUAUUAUAUUUAAAGAAAAAAAAAUGCAUAAAGAAGCAAAUAAUACAAAAAAAAACAUGAACCAGCAGCAAUGUAUCUGGCAUUUACAUGCUAGAAUCUAAAAAAAUACAACGAUCAAAGAAAUUAGAAAAAUAUUUGGUUAAAUUAUUUUUUUUCUUCAUUCUUAACCUUUCUCGAAUUAUUCGAAUAAAAAAAAAAAAGUUAAAGCGGAAGCAAAGCAAAAAUAAACCGAAAUUAAAUAUCAUUAUAUUAUUGUUAAAUAAAAAAUUAAUCAUAGAGUGACCGCUAUUAAAAGAAAAAAAAAGUCAAUAUGUGAUCCACAAUUGCAUUAUAAUCGUAUGUUCUUUGUUUAGUUUCCAAAGUAAAGAAAACAUAUAAAAAAAUUAGUAAAAUUCUAUUGUAGUAGUUGCUAUAGAUAACACUUACACUUUCCUGAUGCUAUUUAGCCUACAUAUAUAUUAAUAAUGAAAGCUCUUUUAGUAAAAUUGAGGUGUGUGUCGAGUAGAGAGGUGCGUGUCAUGGAUGUUGCUGAAUUCGCCUCUGCGAGAGACACAGCGAGCUCACACACACCACAAAUCUAAACACUUACUAUAACUAUCAUUAUUAUUAUUAUUCUAUACUCUUAUAUAGUCCUAUAUAUUAUAUAUAAUAUAAAAGAAUGGCGUUAUUUAAAAAAAAACACAUAAAACAAAAAGGAGUUAUACAAUUAUAUAUAUAUAUAAUAAUUAUAUAUUAUGUACCUUGUCGUGCAAGUGUGAGACAAGAAUGCAUAUAAUUAUAAGUAAAUUGACAGAGUUAUUAUUAAUGACUAUUAAAGAAAAACAAAAAAAAUGUUAUAUUUGUCUGCUCCCAGUUAAAAAAAAUAUGUUUUAUUUAUUCCGCAUUUCAAUUUGGAGGUGUGCAAAUUUCGUUGGUCUCCUUUGUGUCGCCUUUAAUACCUUAAUAUAAUCUUAAAAGUUAAUUUAGGCUUAGGUUUAGCGGGCAGGCACAAGCAGCCUUCUUAGACAGAUGAUGAUAUAUUAAAUACGACAUCAGUUGAUCAUAUCAUACAAUAAUUCAGUGAGACAUUUUACAACAACAACAACAACAAAAAUAAAGUACACAAAAAACUACCCAGAACAACUAGAAUUAUUAUUACAACAACAACCAACAAACAACAUCAAUGUGAUAGAGUAACGGAGCAAACAUUUAGACAGACAUUGUGUGCGGUUACGUAUUUGCUAAAAUGCGGACAAAAUUAAUUCUGGAACGAAGGAACGAAGAAAAAAAUUUGCAUGUUUCAUGCAAUUUUUCUGUUGUUACUUGAGAAUUACACCACAGAAAAAAAAACACAAGACAAAUAAAAAAAAAAUAAAAUAAAUAACAAAAUGAUUAAACACAGAAAAAAU